rnacentral:rRNA from 1 species
CGCGCAGGUGGUUGAUUAAGUCUGAUGUGAAAGCCCACGGCUUAACCGUGGAGGGUCGUUGGAAACUGGUCGACUUGAGUGCAGAAGAGGGAAGUGGAAUUCCAUGUGUAGCGGUGAAAUGCGUAGAGAUCUGGAGGAAUACCGAUUGCGAAGGCAGCCCCCUGGACAGAGACUGACGCUCAAAUGCGAAAGCGUGGGGAUCAAACAGGAUUAGAUACCCCGGUA